GCUGAGUCCCAAGGGCAUUCCGGGGUUUCUUGGCUCUCUGUGAGUGUGACUCGGUGACUCUGCAGCUGCAGCUUGUUAUGACUCGCAAAGAAAUCUGUUUUUGGCACACUAUGGUGACAACAGGAGCAAAAACAACAACUCCAAACUACAUUUUGAAGAAGCUACAUUUAUUACGUUUCAUCCUAUUUCCUGCUACAAGACUGUGACACUUGUAUAAUGCGCCGCAGCACCCUAACAGAUGUGUGAUAUAACGCACUGGGACGUCAGUGCGUGCUCACUGACUAAACACCAGAAAAUGGAUUAGAGCAAGCAAAAGGAUCAGCUGUGUUCAGGCAACUCUUUAUAAAAGAGCAACACUCCACACGGACUAUGGCUUGUGCUUAUAUUUGUAACGUUUUUCCCAGUUUUUUCUCUGCCACUCAGAUAUUCUGUAAAGUUUGAUCAGCUUCUUUCUGAAAAACUACUGGAAAGGACAUAAUAAAACAUGGAGUUUGGACAGA